GAACCGUACGAACGUUAUUCGGAAUCACUGGGCUUAAAGGGUGCGUAGGCGGUCCGGAAAGUUGGGUGUGAAAUCCCUCGGGCUCAACCGAGGGAAUUGCGCUCAAAACUCCCGGACUUGAGGGAGACAGAGGUGAGCGGAACUUGCGGUGGAGCGGUGAAAUGCGUUGAUAUCGCAAGGAACACCAGUAGCGAAGGCGGCUCACUGGGUCUUUUCUGACGCUGAUGCACGAAAGCUAGGGGAGCGAACGGGAUUAGAUACCCCGGUAGUCCUAGCUGUAAACGUUGAGCACUGGGUUGGAGGCUCCUCCAUAGGCUUCCUGCCGUAGCGAAAGUGUUAAGUGCUCCGCCUGGGGAGUAUGGUCGCAAAGGCUG
rnacentral:rRNA from 1 species